rnacentral:rRNA from 1 species
AAGGGAGAGUAACGGGUGGUUACUUACCCUCAGGACCGGAAUAGUGUCGGGAAACUGACAGUAAUGCCGGAUAAUAUCUUUGGAUCAAAGGUGUGAUUCCGCCUGGGGAUAGGACCGCUUUCUAUUAGCUUGUUGGCGGGGUAAUGGCCCACCAAGGCUGAGAUGGAUACCGGGUGUGAGAGCAUGGCCCGGCUCACUGGGACUGAGACACUGCCCAGACACCUACGGGUGGCUGCAGUCGAGAAUCUUCGGCAAUGGGCGAAAGCCUGACCGAGCGACGCCGCGUGCGGGAUGAAGGCCUUCGGGUUGUAAACCGCUGUCAGUUGGGAGGAAGGUGCUGUGAAGAGCAGCAUUUGACCGAUCUUCAGAGGAAGGACGGGCUAAGUUCGUGCCAGCAGCCGCGGUAAGACGAACCGUCCGAACGUUAUUCGGUAUCACUGGGCUUAAAGAGUUCGUAGGCGGCCUAGCAGGUGAGGUGUGAAAUCCAACGGCUCAACCGUUGAAUUGCGCUUCAAACCACUAGGCUCGAGGAUGGCAGGGGUGUUGGGAACAGAUGGUAGAGCGGUGAAAUGCGUUGA